ACCGGCAGCUCAAGUGGUGGCCAUUAUUAUUGGGCCUAAAGCGUUCGUAGCCGGUUUGAUAAGUCUCUGUGAAAUUCCGCAGCUUAACCUUGGGAACUUCUGGGAGAUACUAUCAGACUUGAGGUCGGGAGAGGUUAGGGGUACUCCCAGGGUAGGGGUGAAAUCCUAUAAUCCUGGGAGGACCACCUGUGGCGAAGGCGCCUAACUGGAACGAACCUGACGGUGAGUAACGAAAGCCAGGGGCGCGAACCG
rnacentral:rRNA from 1 species